AGUGUAGGUGGCCGCAUAAGUCGGAUGUGAAAGCCCUGGGCUUAACCUGGGAAUGGCAUUCGAUACUGUGUGGCUAGAGUCUGAUAGAGGGAAGUGGAAUUCCAGGUGUAGCGGUGAAAUGCGUAGAUAUCUGGAGGAACAUCAGUGGCGAAGGCGGCUUCCUGGAUCAAGACUGACACUGAGGCUCGAAAAGCGUGGGGAGCAAACA
rnacentral:rRNA from 1 species